UUGUUGUUGAACUGGUGCUGAUUGGUUUGCUGAAAACACAGGGACUACGAAAGAUACUUGAUGAUGAUGUUGACGGGGUGGUUGACUUCUUCUAAUCUGAGGCAUCCUUUGCCUCCCACUUGAAAUUUCAUUAGCUUCACUGUCUUUCUUCUUAUCAAAACUGCCGCCGUAUCUCUUGUUGGACGAUACCUCCUCUCUAGACAACUGUCCUUCUCGUACACCUUCUUCU
rnacentral:lncRNA from 1 species